rnacentral:rRNA from 1 species
GCGAGCGGCGGAUGGGUGAGUAACACGUGGGGAACCUGCCCCUAAGUCUGGGAUACCAUUUGGAAACAGGUGCUAAUACCGGAUAAUAAAGCAGAUCGCAUGAUCAGCUUUUGAAAGGCGGCGUAAGCUGUCGCUAAGGGAUGGCCCCGCGGUGCAUUAGCUAGUUGGUAAGGUAACGGCUUACCAAGGCGACGAUGCAUAGCCGAGUUGAGAGACUGAUCGGCCACAUUGGGACUGAGACACGGCCCAAACUCCUACGGGAGGCAGCAGUAGGGAAUCUUCCACAAUGGACGCAAGUCUGAUGGAGCAACGCCGCGUGAGUGAAGAAGGUUUUCGGAUCGUAAAGCUCUGUUGUUGGUGAAGAAGGAUAGAGGUAGUAACUGGCCUUUAUUUGACGGUAAUCAACCAGAAAGUCACGGCUAACUACGUGCCAGCAGCCGCGGUAAUACGUAGGUGGCAAGCGUUGUCCGGAUUUAUUGGGCGUAAAGCGAGCGCAGGCGGAAAAAUAAGUCUAAUGUGAAAGCCCUCGGCUUAACCGAGGAACUGCAUCGGAAACUGUUUUUCUUGAGUGCAGAAGAGGAGAGUGGAACUCCAUGUGUAGCGGUGGAAUGCGUAGAUAUAUGGAAGAACACCAGUGGCGAAGGCGGCUCUCUGGUCUGCAACUGACGCUGAGGCUCGAAAGCAUGGGUAGCGAACAGGAUUAGAUACCCUGGUAGUCCAUGCCGUAAACGAUGAGUGCUAAGUGUUGGGAAGGUUUCCGCCUCUCAGUGCUGCAGC